rnacentral:rRNA from 1 species
GACGUAGGGGGCAAGCGUUGUCCGGAUUUAUUGGGCGUAAAGAGCGUGUAGGCGGCCAGGUAGGUCGGUUGUGAAAACUCGAGGCUCAACCUCGAGAUGUCGACCGAAACCAUCUGGCUAGAGUCCGGAAGAGGAGAAUGGAAUUCCCGGUGUAGCGGUGAAAUGCGCAGAUAUCGGGAAGAACACCCGUGGCGAAGGCGGUUCUCUGGGACGGUACUGACGCUGAGACGCGAAAGCGUGGGGAGCGAACAGG